UGUAGACCUGCUACAUAUUGCUCGGGUUGUUGGUGAUGUAUAGUGUGUUAUUUCGUUCUUUCACGUUGGAAGUUUGGAACUUCGGCGUGUUUGGUUCAAUAGGCUACUGGUAGGGGUUACAGUCGGUAUCUCGUUCGUUGUAUCCCAAUGGUCUGGGCUGCUGCACUAUACGGUUGUGAAGGAGUUGAGAGUGUUCUACGAUGAGGUCCUUACAAGUGCAACGGAAGACAUUUUUCGAAGUACAGUGGUGGUUUCGUCAGUCAUGGAUUUUAUUUCUCUCAUCACUGGAGAAUACUUCAGUUCUAAUAAGAUGAUAGUGAUUUCAAGAUCUUGAACCCUAGGUUGGCUUUUCUCAAAUCACCCAUUUGAUUAGGAAAUGCACUAUUCUCCUUUUUUCUUAUUCUGUUCAAUUCAAACUUGGUAUAAUAACACAGGAAUCUAUCCUUGGCGCAGAUGCUGGAAAAAUGUGGCAGUGACAUUCCUUGUGCAGAAUUUUAAACUUGUGUGACCUAUUUUAACUUUUAAAAGUAAUCUAAAUACGCAUCUCGAUCCACGUAUCCUAUACUUGGGUAUGAAUGUCAUUUUGGAGUAAUAUGACGUUUGGCAGUUAGAAUGGUAGUAUAACACUUUUUCAAGAGUAAGCUAUGGAUCACCGUACUGUUCUUGUUAGUCAAGAAAUAUAAAAUAUAUUGAAUACUUCA